rfam:Colletotrichum gloeosporioides Cg-14 contig04059, whole genome shotgun sequence.
UCCUCGAUAGUCUAGUGGUGAGGAUAUCGGCUUGUCACGCCGGCGACCGGGGUUCAAUUCCCCGUCGAGGAG